UACAGAGGGUGCGAGCGUUGUUCGGAAUUAUUGGGCGUAAAGCGCAUGUAGGCGGUUUGUUAAGUCGCGUGUGAAAGCUUCCGGCUCAACCGGAAAGUGCGCGCGAAACUGGCGAACUUGAGUGCCGGAGAGGGUGGCGGAAUUCCCGGUGUAGAGGUGAAAUUCGUAGAUAUCGGGAGGAACACCAGAGGCGAAGGCGGCCACCUGGACGGACACUGACGCUGAGACGCGAAAGCGUGGGGAGCAAACAGG
rnacentral:rRNA from 1 species